rnacentral:rRNA from 1 species
GAGGAAAGAGGGAGGCGUGCUUAACACAUGCAAGUCGAACGGUGAAGCGCCUUCCUUUUUGGUGGGUGUGGAUGAGUGGCGAACGGGUGAGUAACACGUGAGUAACCUGCCCCCUUCUUCUGGAUAACCGCAUGAAAGUGUGGCUAAUACGGGAUAUUCUGGGUCUGUCGCAUGAUGGGUCUGGGAAAGAUAUUGUUUCGGUGGGGGAUGGGCUCGCGGCCUAUCAGCUUGUUGGUGGGGUGAUGGCCUACCAAGGCGGUGACGGGUAGCCGGCCUGAGAGGGUGGACGGUCACACUGGGACUGAGACACGGCCCAGACUCCUACGGGAGGCAGCAGUGGGGAAUAUUGCACAAUGGGCGCAAGCCUGAUGCAGCGACGCCGCGUGAGGGAUGGAGGCCUUCGGGUUGUGAACCUCUUUCGCCAGUGAAGCAGGCCUGCCUCGUUUGUGGGUGGGUUGACGGUAGCUGGAUAAGAAGCGCCGGCUAACUACGUG